rnacentral:rRNA from 1 species
GACAGAGGUGCCAAGCGUUAGGCGGAAUUACUGGGCGUAAAGCGUGCGCAGGCGGUUCUAUAAGACAGAUGGGAAAUCCCCGGGCUCAACCUGGGAACUGCAUUUGUGACUGUAGAGCUGGAGUACGGUAGAGGGGGAUGGAAUUCCGCGUGUAGCAGUGAAAUGCGUAGAUAUGCGGAGGAACACCGAUGGCGAAGGCAAUCCCCUGGACCUGUACUGACGCUCAUGCACGAAAGCGUGGGGAGCAAACAGG